UGGGGAAUAUUGCACAAUGGGCGAAAGCCUGAUGCAGCAACGCCGCGUGAACGAUGAAGGUCUUCGGAUCGUAAAGUUCUGUUGCAGGGGAAGAUAAUGACGGUACCCUGUGAGGAAGCCCCGGCUAACUACGUGCCAGCAGCCGCGGUAAUACGUAGGGGGCUAGCGUUAUCCGGAUUUACUGGGCGUAAAGGGUGCGUAGGUGGUCCUUCAAGUCGGUGGUUAAAGGCUACGGCUCAACCGUAGUAAGCCGCCGAAACUGGAGGACUUGAGUGCAGGAGAGGAAAGUGGAAUUCCCAGUGUAGCGGUGAAAUGCGUAGAUAUUGGGAGGAACACCAGUAGCGAAAGCGGCUUUCUGGACGAAAACUGACGCUGAGGCGCGAAAGCCAGGGGAGCGAACGGGAUUAGAUACCCCGGUAGUCCUGGCCGUAAACGAUGGGUACUAGGUGUAGGAGGUAUCGACCCCUUCUGUGCCGGAGUUAACGCAAUAAGUACCCCGCCUGGGGGAGUACGGCCGCAAGGUUG
rnacentral:rRNA from 1 species